rnacentral:lncRNA from 10 species
CGGACCAGGAUUCCCGCGGGUCCUGGCGGCUGCGAGCGCGAGGCGGCGCGGAUUCGCGGCUCGGUUCCGGCGCGACUGCUCACCGCGCCCGCCUCGCCUCCCGCGGCUGCCAGCGUGCACUGGGCGCUCCUCGGCGCGUCUGCCCGGCCCGUCUCGGCUUUCCUUCUCCUUCCUCUAGUCCCAGCGUCACAACUCCGCCGACCUCCUCUGCCCUGAGAGCGCGUCCGGUGCGGGCGGAGUCGGACGGACUCUGGCUUCACGCCUCGCGCGGGCACACCUUCUCCCGGGCACUGAGGCCCAGGGGAGGCAGAGUCCUUCUGGAGUUUGACCCUUGGAUUCCAUCCAGAGCAGCCUCCAAAAUGACACCUUUGAAGUUGUGUAUCGAGCUGGGGGAUGUAAAGGGAGGAGAAGAAAGAAGAUGAAGAGAUACCAGCCAGCCUUAAGGAGUGGACAUCCUGCCUGGUGAAACUGAACAAGACACCUACCGCAUAUGGAGUUUCGCUCUGUCGCCCAGGCUGGAGUGCAGUGGUGCCAUCUCGGCUCACCGCAACCUCCACCUCCAGGUUCAAGUGAUUCUCCUGCCUCAGCCUCUC